GACAAGGCGAGACUGCGCUGGCUCUGGCGGCCGGGAAGUCCGUCCUCUGCCCCCGCCUCUGCGCGACGGCGAUUGGCUGCGGUGCGGGGAGGCGCCUCGCCCAUUGGCUAGGAGCGGCGUCCGUCCGGACGGGGCGCCGCCGCCGCCAUGGUUCGCUUCAAGAACAGGUACGUGCUGUGCGAGGUGGUGUCGGAGGACCCGCGGUGCCGGCAGUGCAUCGAGGACCGCGCCGUGGGCCUCGCCGUCAGGGACGCCAUCGGGCGGGUGCACGGGGACUACGGCCUGGCCUGCUGCUCCAUCUCCUUCACAGUGAAGUACCUGAACGCCUACACCGGGACCGUGCUGCUGCGCUGCCGCAAGGACUCGUACCGGCUGCUCUGCUCGGCGCUGCCCUUCGUGCGGCAGCUGGAGAGCCGGGGCCAGCGCUACCCCUGCUGCCUGCGCACCCUGCACGUCGGAGGUCAGUCCCAGCGCCUCGGCUGCCCGAGGGGGAGGCCUCGGAGCUUAACCGAACCUUCCCGGCCCGCUGGAGGAAAAACCCCCUCUUACUGCUGCGUUGUGACACACCCGCCUUCUGUGUCACUGACUUAGUGGAUCCAAGUACCAUAAGAACAUGUCAGAAAUUUCUAAUUCAGUAUAACAGAAGACAGCUACUGGUGUUGUUGCAAAACUGUACGAAUGAAGAGGAAAGGCAGUGUAUACAGAAGUCAUUGUUGAGUUGUUCCCUCACAGAAGGGCAGUCUCGAAGUGGAGAUGAAGAUGAUGAUGAUGGCACAGAGACCGACUGAACGUUACAUUUUACUGCUCGCCUCUGUCCUGUACUUGUGUAAUCAAGGUGUUACCAGUUACCUUCAGUGUUAAGCAAAGCAGGGGACAAAAAAAAGCAUCUGUUCAUAUUUACACUUCAUCCCCCCCAUUCUAAAUGUUCUUAAAUAAAUUUUUAAAAAGUA